rnacentral:rRNA from 1 species
GACGAACGCUGGCGGCGUGCUUAACACAUGCAAGUCGAACGGUGAAGCGCCUUCCUUUUUGGUGGGUGUGGAUGAGUGGCGAACGGGUGAGUAACACGUGAGUAACCUGCCCCCUUCUUCUGGAUAACCGCAUGAAAGUGUGGCUAAUACGGGAUAUUCUGGGUCUGUCGCAUGAUGGGUCGGGGAAAGAUAUUGUUUCGGUGGGGGAUGGGCUCGCGGCCUAUUAGCUUGUUGGUGGGGUGAUGGCCUACCAAGGCGGUGACGGGUAGCCGGCCUGAGAGGGUGGUGGGCGGUCAUGCUAGUGCUGCGACACGGCCCAGCCUCCGACGGGAGGCAGCAGUGGGGAAUAUUGCACAAUGGGCGCAAGCCUGAUGCAGCGACGCCGCGUGAGGGAUGGAGGCCUUCGGGUUGUGAACCUCUUUCGCCAGUGAAGCAGUCCUGCCUCGUUUGUGGGUGGGUUGACGGUAGCUGGAUAAGAAGCGCCGGCUAACUACGUG